GAUGAACGCUGGCGGCGUGCCUAAUACAUGCAAGUCGAGCGAACAGACGAGGAGCUUGCUUUUCUGACGUUAGCGGCGGACGGGUGAGUAACACGUGGAUAACCUACCUAUAAGACUGGGAUAACUUCGGGAAACCGGAGCUAAUACCGGAUAAUAUAUUGAACCGCAUGGUUCAAUAGUGAAAGACGGUUUUGCUGUCACUUAUAGAUGGAUCCGCGCCGCAUUAGCUAGUUGGUAAGGUAACGGCUUACCAAGGCGACGAUGCGUAGCCGACCUGAGAGGGUGAUCGGCCACACUGGAACUGAGACACGGUCCAGACUCCUACGGGAGGCAGCAGUAGGGAAUCUUCCGCAAUGGGCGAAAGCUUGACGGAGCAACGCCGCGUGAGUGAUGAAGGUCUUCGGAUCGUAAAACUCUGUUAUUAGGGAAGAACAUAUGUGUAAGUAACUGUGCACGUCUUGACGGUACCUAAUCAGAAAGCCACGGCUAACUACGUG
rnacentral:rRNA from 1 species